rnacentral:rRNA from 1 species
CCCCUAGUAACUGCGAGUGAAGCGGGAAAAGCUCAAAUUUAAAAUCUGGCGGCUUUUGGCUGUCCGAGUUGUACUCUGGAGAAGUGCUUUCCGCGCUGGACCGUGUACAACUCUCUUGGAACAGAGCGUCAUAGAGGGUGAGAAUCCCGUCUUUGACACGGACUACCAGUGCUUUGUGAUGCGCUCUCAAAGAGUCGAGUUGUUUGGGAAUGCAGCUCAAAAUGGGUGGUAAAUUCCAUCUAAAGCUAAAUAUUGGCGAGAGACCGAUAGCGAACAAGUACCGUGAGGGAAAGAUGAAAAGCACUUUGGAAAGAGAGUUAAACAGUACGUGAAAUUGCUGAAAGGGAAACGCUUGAAGUCAGUCGCGUUGUCCAGAACUCACCCUUGCUUUUGCUUGGUGCACUUUCUGGUUGACGGGCCACCAUCAAUUUUGAUUGUUGGAUAAAGGCUGGGGGAAUGUGGCACCUUCGGGUGUGUUAUAGCCCUCGGUCACAUACAACAGUUGGGAUUGAGGAUCUCACCACGCCUUUAUGGUCGGCGUUCGCCCACGUUCGUGCUUAGGAUGCUGGCAUAAUGGCUUUAAACGACCCGUCUUGAAACACGGACCAAGGAGUCUAACAUGCCUGCGAGUGUUUGGGUGGAAAACCCGAGCGCGUAAUGAAAGUGAAAGUUGAGAUCCCUGUCAUGGGGAGCAUCGACGCCCGGACCUGACCUUCUGUGACGGCUCCGCGGUAGAGCAUGUAUGUUGGGACCCGAAAGAUGGUGAACUAUGCCUGAAUAGGGUGAAGCCAGAGGAAACUCUGGUGGAGGCUCGUAGCGAUUCUGACGUGCAAAUCGAUCGUCAAAUUUGGGUAUAGGGGCGAAAGACUAAUCGAACCAUC